rnacentral:rRNA from 1 species
UACGUAGGGUGCGAGCGUUAAUCGGAUUUACUGGGCGUAAAGCGUGCGCAGGCGGUUUGUUAAGCGAGAUGUGAAAGCCCCGGGCUCAACCUGGGAACCGCAUUUCGAACUGGCAAACUAGAGUCUUGUAGAGGGGGGUAGAAUUCCAGGUGUAGCGGUGAAAUGCGUAGAUAUCGGGAGGAAUACCGGUGGCGAAGGCAGCCCCCUGGGCCUGUACUGACGCUCAUGCACGAAAGCGUGGGGAGCAAACAGG